rnacentral:rRNA from 1 species
AGAGUUUGAUCAUGGCUCAGGACGAACGCUGGCGGCGUGCCUAAUACAUGCAAGUCGAGCGAAUCAUUAGGAGCUUGCUCCUGAUGGUUAGCGGCGGACGGGUGAGUAACACGUGGGCAACCUGCCUAUAAGACUGGGAUAACUUCGGGAAACCGGAGCUAAUACCGGAUAAUCCUUUUCCUCACAUGAGGGAAAGCUGAAAGACGGUUUCGGCUGUCACUUAUAGAUGGGCCCGCGGCGCAUUAGCUAGUUGGUGAGGUAACGGCUCACCAAGGCGACGAUGCGUAGCCGACCUGAGAGGGUGAUCGGCCACACUGGGACUGAGACACGGCCCAGACUCCUACGGGAGGCAGCAGUAGGGAAUCUUCCGCAAUGGACGAAAGUCUGACGGAGCAACGCCGCGUGAACGAUGAAGGCCUUCGGGUCGUAAAGUUCUGUUGUUAGGGAAGAACAAGUAUCGAAGUAACUGCCGGUACCUUGACGGUACCUAACCAGAAAGCCACGGCUAACUACGUGCCAGCAGCCGCGGUAAUACGUAGGUGGCAAGCGUUGUCCGGAAUUAUUGGGCGUAAAGCGCGCGCAGGCGGUUCCUUAAGUCUGAUGUGAAAGCCCCCGGCUCAACCGGGGAGGGUCAUUGGAAACUGGGGAACUUGAGUACUGAAGAGGAAAGCGGAAUUCCACGUGUAGCGGUGAAAUGCGUAGAGAUGUGGAGGAACACCAGUGGCGAAGGCGGCUUUCUGGUCAGUAACUGACGC